GAGUUUGAUCCUGGCUCAGAUUGAACGCUGGCGGAAUGCUUUACACAUGCAAGUCGAACGGCAGCACGGGGCAACCUGGUGGCGAGUGGCGAACGGGUGAGUAAUACAUCGGAACGUGCCCAAUCGUGGGGGAUAACGUAGCGAAAGUUACGCUAAUACCGCAUACGAUCUACGGAUGAAAGCGGGGGAUCGCAAGACCUCGCGCGAAUGGAGCGGCCGAUGUCAGAUUAGGUAGUUGGUGGGGUAAAGGCUCACCAAGCCAACGAUCUGUAGCUGGUCUGAGAGGACGACCAGCCACACUGGAACUGAGACACGGUCCAGACUCCUACGGGAGGCAGCAGUGGGGAAUUUUGGACAAUGGGCGCAAGCCUGAUCCAGCCAUUCCGCGUGCAGGAUGAAGGCCUUCGGGUUGUAAACUGCUUUUGUACGGAACGAAAAGGUCCUGGUUAAUACCUGGGGCUCAUGACGGUACCGUAAGAAUAAGCACCGGCUAACUACGUG
rnacentral:rRNA from 1 species